UGGUAAUGGAAUAAAGGACGCAU
rnacentral:piRNA from 1 species